GGACUGAGAUACGGCCCAGACUUCUACGGAAGGCAGCAGUAAGGAAUAUUGCGCAAUGGUCGAAAGACUGACGCAGCAACGCCGCGUGCAGGAUGAAGCUUCUAGGAGUGUAAACUGCUUUUAGUUGGGAAGAACAGACAGGUUUCGAAUAGGGACUUGUUUUGACGGUACCUUUAGAAAAAGCCCCGGCUAACUCCGUGCCAGCAGCCGCGGUAACACGGGGGGGGCAAGCGUUGUCCGGAAUUAUUGGGCGUAAAGGGCGCGCAGGCGGGAUGAUCAGUCUGAGGUGAAAUCUUUUGGCUUAACCGAAAGCUUGCCUUGGAUACUGUCAUUCUUGAGUUCGGAAGAGGGAAGUGGAAUUCCUGGUGUAGCGGUGAAAUGCGUAGAUAUCAGGAAGAACACCGGUGGCGAAGGCGGCUUCCUGGUCCGAUACUGACGCUGAGGCGCGAAAGCGUGGGGAGCGAACAGGAUUAGAUACCCUGGUAGUCCACGCUGUAAACGAUGGGUACUAGGUGUUGGUCCUUUUUAGGAUCAGCGCCGCAGCUAACGCAUUAAGUACCCCGCCUGGGGAAUACGACCGCAAGGUUGAAACUCAAAGGAAUUGACGGGGGCCCGCACAAGCGGUGGAGCAUGUGGUUUAAUUCGAUGCAACGCGAAGAACCUUACCUGGGCUUGAACCGUAGUCGAAAACCCCUGAAAAGGGGUCCUCCUUCGGGACGGCUAUAGAGGUGCUGCAUGGCUGUCGUCAGCUCGUGCCGUGAGGUGUUGGGUUAAGUCCCGCAACGAGCGCAACCCUUGCCCUUAGUUGCCAUCAGGUUAUGCUGGGAACUCUAAGGGGACUGCCCCGGAUAACGGGGAGGAAGGUGGGGAUGACGUCAAGUCCUCAUGGCCCUUACGUCCAGGGCUACACACGUGCUACAAUGGCCGGUACAAUGGGCAGCGAUACCGCAAGGUGGAGCAAAUCCUUAAAACCGGUCUCAGUUCAGAUUGCAGUCUGCAACUCGACUGCAUGAAGUCGGAAUCGCUAGUAAUCGCGGAUCAGCAUGCCGCGGUGAAUACGUUCCCGGGCCUUGUACACACCGCCCGUCACGCCAUGGAAGUUGGUAGCACCCGAAGCCGGUGGCCUAAUCCCGCUUGCGGGAAAGGAGCCGUCGAAGGUGAGACCGAUGA
rnacentral:rRNA from 1 species